AAAAAUGCAGAAGCAAAAAAAUCAAUCAAAAUACUGUUUCAUCCAAGUUUUGAGCAUAGGGAUACAAAAAUACUAUUUUUCACUAAAGAAUCUUUGAAAUUUCCUGUAGUACUGAUUCUAUAACGAGUUUUUGAGAAAUUAAAUGAGCUGAAGUGUGUAUGACAUGUAACUUUGGGGUCAUUCUUUGUGAAAGUUAUGUUUUGAGCUUGGUGAGACAUCCUUUAAUUCCAAGACAGGUUUAAAGUGACAUUUUCAAUCACUCUUUGGGUUAAGUUUGUUGUUGCUAUUGUUUUCUACUACGUAUUUGCUUAAUAUUGUUUUCUUCUACUUUUCAGGUACACAUCUCAUUGAAACCUUUGUAAUUUGAUGCUAAAUUGGAAGAGUAGAUGCUCUGGACAUUUAUUUUAGUCUUCUUCUACCUCUUGUGUUGAAAUGCCAUUUUCAAUAUAAUUUAUGUUUAUUAAACAUGCUCUGAAGUAUUAGUAAGUCUGGGAUUUCAACCUUUUGAAUGAGUUAAAAUCAUCAUUAACACUGUGUAUUUUGGUUUUUUCACAGCUCGACAUUCAUUUUUUUUACAUUAAUUGAACUUUACAUAGCUGUGGUUGCUCUAUAGUAAGGUGUUAGGAUUUACAGCCCUGCAUUAGAUUUGUAUUUAUUGCUGAUCUUGGACUGUUACACGAAUUUGAUGAAAUCGGAGGUUGAAUUUUAAACUAGAUCUUAUGUUUAAUAAUGUUAAUUAGUAUGUGUGUGGUGUUAGGGUUUGUUAUUUCCAUUUGAAUGCUAUGAUAUAGUAUUGACGCACCUUUGAAGGGUAUGUGAGUUUCUUUGAAUUGGUAUUUGAAGUCAAAUUUGUUCGAGUUUAAAAGGGAAA
rnacentral:lncRNA from 1 species